AAUUCAAAAAACCACCUCUUCCAUUUCGUAAUUUCAUUACACAAUUUCAAAGGCAAUCCCAGAAAUACUCAUUACUGAAUUUUCCGGGAAUUGGAGUUUGGUAGAUUCGAAAAAAGAAAAACCAAAUCGGGGAAGUUGGGAAGAAAGAGGGAGGAAUGAAUACUGGGUUGGAUCCAUCGAUGACGUUGCUGGCAGCAAGCGGCGGCGACACCGUGAAGCUCUUUGAUGUGUCGGACAAGUCCGCCGAUCCCUUGGUUUUAAGCUACACUCCUUCUCCUGGUUCCCAUGUCAAUUCCCUCAAGUGGAAUCACACCAAUAUGGUGGUGGCUAGUGCUGGAGAUGAUAAGAAGAUAUCGUUGUGGAAUAAGAAUGGGAAGAGCAUAGGCACCAUUCCGGUGGCCGGGACCGACAGCGGAGAUGGCAUUGAGGAGUAUAUAUUGGCUCUCAGCUUCGGUAACAAGGUUUCUAGAUACAUUUGUUCCGGUGGAACCGGUCAGGUUGUAAGAAUAUGGGAUUUGCAGAGGAAGCGGUGUAUCAAAUGGUUGAGGGGUCACUCUAGUACAAUUACGGGUGCAAUGUACAAUUGCAAAGAUGAGCACUUGGCUUCCAUCAGUCUUAAUGGGAACCUCAUACUUCACAACCUUGCAUCUGGUACAAGGACUACUGAACUCAAGGACCCCAAUCAACAGGUACUAAGAGUGCUUGAUUAUUCCCGGAUUAGUCGACACCUUCUUGUGACAGCAGGUGAUGACGGGUCUGUACAUUUGUGGGACACGACCGCUCGUAGCCCAAAGGUUUCUUGGCUGAAGCAGCAUUCUGCACCAGCUGCUGGUAUCAGUUUCUCUCCAUCUAAUGACAAGAUGAUAGCUACCGUUGGGCUUGAUAAGAAGUUGUAUACUUACGACUCAGGGUCGAGACAACCUUCACAUUGUAUUUCCUAUAAAGCACCUUUCUCUUCAUUGGCAUUUAGAGAUGAUGGUUGGGUAUUGGCAGCUGGAACAAGCAGUGGUGAUGUGGUGUUCUACGAUGUCCGUGGUAAACCAGAGCCUUUCACUGGUAUUCGUGCUUAUAGUAGUUCAGAGGCUGUUACAAGUCUAUGCUGGCAAAGGUCAAAACCUGUCGUUGUAAACGAAAGCAAUUGUACUGUUGAGACUGCUCUUUUAGGAGAUGCUGUUGAAGAUUCAAUCCUUAUGCCUGACCAACUUCCUUCUGUGACUUCAUCAAGUCUUCCUCCAUCUAUGGCGGUAUCUAGUUCUCGAAAUCCAGGCCAUUCAAGUUCAUCUACCGAGACAUCAGCAGCUGGCAAUGGAUUAACAUCAAGCACACUUUGUGUAUCUACGACAGAGGAUACACCACAACGAGACCAUUUGUGGCCUGGUAGAACAUUGCGUAGGUUGCAUCCUCCUCGAUCUACUUAUAACUUCAAGGAUGAUAUGGAGGUGUUCUCCCCUCUUGUCGAUGUUCAUCCAAUCACACCUACACUUGACAAGCUGUGGGAUGAUGACAAAUCAAAGAAGGAUAAUUUGUUUCCAGAUAAGAAACCUUCGUCACUUUUAUUUCCUUCGUCCGGUGGGAGAUUCUCUUUUGCAGAAGAUGGGGCCACUGAUCAUCCAAUUUUUGACUGGAAAACCAGUUCAACAUCUAAACAGGAUGACAUAAAAUCGUCGUUUGCACUAUUAGAAUCAACCCCUACUCCAUCUUCCAAGAGUGAAAACUCAUCCAUCACCCCUCCAGAAGCUUGGGGUGGUGAGAGAUUUUCUGAGAAGUUUCGCCAGCCAACCUCUUUUCUAUCUCGCGUUGGGAUGUCAGCUCAGACAUCAGGAUCAACUUUAUCUGGACUGCCCGAUAUGUCUUUAACAGAAAACUUGCAAAGUUUGCGCACCAAAGGUUUGUCUUCCAUUCAGGAGACUUCGUUUGGAUAUCCUGAACAUAUUUCCUCGAGUGCAAUGCCUAUGUCCCCUGGUAACAAAGGCCUCUUGGGACAGCCUAACCUUGAUGCACCAAUGUCUUUGACCUUUUCUCGGAGAUUCUCUACUUAUGCAGAGAGGAUAAGCACUACAUCUAACUUCAAUGAUCGAACAUCCCUAGCAGUGAGUUCACCAAAAACAAAGAAAACAGGAGCCGAAGGAAGAGAAGAAUUGUUGAAUAGCUUCUUGUCAAAGUCAGAUGCAUCAACUGCCACAGAAUUAGGGGCUCUUCCAGCAAUUAAUGUAUGGGUGACAGAUUUGUUGGAUAAGUCGUCUUCUUUGGUUUGGGAGGAAGCUUGCAUCUCCAAAAUGCGCCCCAACAAGAUGCACAGCAGGGAAGCUCCUUUACAUUUCAGAUUUUUCAACGGACUCUAGAAGAAACUCUGGAUUCUUUUCAGAAAUCUAUACACGAAGAUAUGAGGAACCUUCAUAUAGAAAUUUUAAGGCAAUUUCAUAUGCAAGAGAUGGAAAUGUCAAAUGUGAUGAGGACAAUGCUGGAAAACCAAGCUGAGCUGAUGAAGGAAGUUAAGUCUCUCCGGAAAGAAAACCAGCAGCUCCGGCAAUUGCUUUGAGCAUUGGUGACGAUUGUUAUUGUUUUGAAUUUUUUUUUUUUUUUUGGUGGAUUUGGAAUAUGCAUGUUGUUUCAGUGUCAUGAUUUGCUCUCCAUCAGUCGGUGUUCGUUAUAUAGGUAGACUAGAAUUGCUUCUCUUGGCCGGGGGCGGGGACUAAAGAAAAGGUAGAAAUGCAAGUGCAAUAGGAAGUAGAGUUUAUGAGCAUAUGUACAGAAUGAUCAUUUCCAGCUAAUGAACGAAGGCUUUGAUUCGGGUGAAAUUUACAAGCAUUACGAUGUUUCAGCUUUUA